ensembl:lncRNA
UUUUGUGUUUCCUUUGCCGUGACCUUCCAGGGUGAUCAAUGUGCUGUUCUUCUUUCAAAAAGCCAAAGGUCAUUGCACUGCACACGUUGUAGAAAAUAAAUGAGUUUAUUUGUUACAUGUUUGAGAUGAUUGCUACCAAGUCGGAACAAGAACCUAAACAUUAAACAAGAGCUCUUCAUUAACCACACACAGAGCCUACGGUGAGCUAACAGAAUACUGGGCGUAGAAACUUUUCAGAGGACUUAUUCCACGCUUACUUCUUACCAUUUCAAAUGUCAGUCAUGUUGUGUUACUAUCUGAAUAAACCAAGGUACCUUAUUGUCUAAACGAUUAACAGUGAUCUUCAAACACUAGAUAGAGAAUAGCCCACAGCCAGGAGGACGCUUUGGGGAGUGAUUCUAUACAGGUUUCAUAUCCGGGCAGGACCACUUUACCCUUAAGUUCCCCUCAGCUCGAUGUACACAACACUUAAAACAAAACCACUUAAAACAAAACCACAGUUCAUGUGCAAAAGGCAGCGAACAAGAUGACCACCAAGCCAAACGAGAUGACCACCAACCCAAACGCGCCCUUGGAGAUCCACCACCACCAUGCUCCCAGUGAGGUCCUCAUCGCCGGCUGAUUCACAUGCACGCUGCUAGUGUGCACGUUAGCGUCUGUUCCUCACCUUCCACUUGACCAGCAGUACCUCCUCCGACCAGAAGGGGCUCCUUCCUGAACCUCUUCCUGGUUCGCUGGUUUGGGUUCAAGUCUCACAGGGGGAGUCUGUUAAAAAUGGCAUUGCGAUAAAGAAAGAUACGAAUAAAGAACUGAUCCGUUGAAUCCACUCGAGAGAGCCGGGUGGGCCUCUGAGUGAGGAAGUUCUUGGGGAGGUUGUGGGCAUGUCCACGCAGACCCAGGUGUGACGGACAGAAACAUGUGACCAGGAAGUCAGUGCCUCAUCACAGGCUUAAAACUUAAACCUAAAAACCAAACAUAGAAAUUAGAAAAUAAACUGAACUCUUGUUGCAUAAGUUGUAGGCCAGAAGGGGUUUGAAUACACAAACAUGACUUAGGUUAUACCGAGUAUGACGAGAAUUUAAGCAAACUUAACAGGUGUGUCGGGAACAGGUAUCUAAUGCAACGUUAUCUCCUCCGAGGACGCCAUUUUGGCGGGGGUCCUCAAAGUUUUCUAACACUUAUGCCAGCUCUACAACUUUAAAGUCCUCAAACUCUUAAGCUAGCUUGUUAAGAUAAAGGUCCUCAAACUCUUAAGCUAUCUUGUCAAGAUGAAGGUCUCCAGAAUCUUCCCAGGAUGGCUCCAAACCGUUUCACCACGGUUUUCCGUCGCAAAUAGAAACUGCUUAGAAAAGGGUUUUGCCAAAACAUUGAAAACAUGAAGGAGUAUUUACAUCCCACGAAAGACGUCUGUGAUCAAGGUUGAAGUAACAUCUGCUAAGGUAAAGACAUUUGAGAAGAAUCAAUGUCUAUAGAUUUGAAGUAUAAAUAUUAAUUCAUUUACAAUGUGUUUGUACACUACUAUAUAACCUCUAUGAUUUCUCGUGUGCAGAUCAGGUACACAGGCAAUACGUUUAGUAAAAAAUAUAUGCUCUUUCUGUUGACGAAUACCAUCUUAUUAACGUCACCCUGCAGGCGGGAGCCCAGGAGGAGACCAGCGUCUACAACAGCACCCAGGGGUGCUACAGCAGCAUCCAGUGUCUACAGCAGCACCCAGAGUCUACAGCAGCACCCAGUGUCUACAGCAGCACCCAGGGUCUACAGCAGCACCCAGUGUCUACAGCAGCACCCAGGGGUGCUACAGCAGCACCCACCCAGAGUCUACAGCAGCACCCACCCAGUGUCUACAGCAGCACCCACCCAGAGUCUACAGCAGCACCCAGAGUCUACAGCAGCACCCAGAGUCUACAGCAGCACCCACCCAGUGUCUACAGCAGCACCCACCCAGAGUCUACAGCAGCACCCAGUCUGCAGCCGUCCACCGUGGAGCCUUCACUACCAUCAGAGGCAUCUAUCCAAAGGGACUGACCGCAGGUCAUUAAGGAGAGGGAGGGGUCCGGGGGAGGGGUCAGGGGUCAUUAAGGAGAGGGAGGGGUCAGGGGUCAUUAAGGAGAGGGAGGGGUCAGGGGUCAUGAAGGAGAGGGGGGGGUCCGGGAGGGGUCAUUAAGGAGAGGGAGGGGUCAAGGGUCAUUAAGGAGAGGGAGGGGUCAGGGGUCAUUAAGGAGAGGGAGGGGUCAGGGGUCACUAAGGAGAGGGAGGGGUCAGGGGUCAUUAAGGAGAGGGAGGGGUCAGGGGUCAUUAAGGAGAGGGAGGGGUCGGGGGAGGGGUCAGGGGUCAUGAAGGAGAGGGAGGGGUCAGGGGGACGGGUCAGGGGUCAUUAAGGAGAGGGAGGGGUCAGGGGUCAUUAAGGAGAGGGAGGGGUCGGGGUCAUUAAGGAAAGGGAGGGGUCGGGGGAGGGGUCGGGGGUCAUUAAGGACAGGGAGGGGUCGGGGGAGGGGUCAGGGGUCAUGAAGGAGAG